rnacentral:rRNA from 1 species
UACGGGGGUGGCAAGCGUUGUUCGGAAUUACUGGGCGUAAAGGGCUCGUAGGCGGCCAACUAAGUCGGACGUGAAAUCCCUCGGCUUAACCGGGGAACUGCGUCUGAUACUGGAUGGCUUGAGAUUGGGAGAGGGAUGCGGAAUUCCAGGUGUAGCGGUGAAAUGCGUAGAUAUCUGGAGGAACACCGGUGGCGAAGGCGGCAUCCUGGACCAACACUGACGCUGAGGAGCGAAAGCCAGGGGAGCAAACGGG